ensembl:lincRNA
AGUGAAGUCAGAACUGCUGUAUUUUCUGUGUACUCCAGCAAUUCAGAUAUGGGGUGAAAAGAGUUAUACGGAAUGUGGCCAAGGGGGCCCCAAAUGAAGAUGAACGAUAUCAUGACAUACAGCGAGGAUGAGCUCCAGCCAGGCUCCAGGCUGGCUCAUUCCCAGAAAACACAGGUCAAAGGUCACUAUCCAGCGCCCAAGUAAGUGAUCCGUAGGGUGGGUAACAGGUGGGUAGCACCUGAUGGCGUCUCAGCCAAUCACCAACUGGUGAUGUCACCCCAUAUAAAUUGAAACGGGCCUGAUCGGCAAAAUUAGGCCGUUGGCCUUUUUCUUUUUGUCGACAUCCAGAAUAUCCUGAACACCAUGACAGCACAGAAUGAACUGAGUUCCCCUUUUGCCGGCCCUGUGAACCUGAAGAAGACAAAUGUCGCAAUAUCUCAUAUGUGUGUUUACACGCGCACGCAUAAUCUGCACCAGCAAUAAGGCGGAAGGAGAACAUACUGUGUACUCCACCACCACGUUUCAUCCCCCAGCACCUGGGGGCGCGAACCCGGGUCCCCGGCGUAACGCAACAGGGAGCCAGCCGAGUGAGCUAAAGGAAACCCCCCCAAGCUGAGGUCCCCGCUAUGCGCAGGGGGGGGGGCUGACGUCAAAGUAUCCGAACUAGCUCCGCUACAUAAACAAAGAUUUUAAUAGUAUGUUAAAAAGCGGAAGAAAGGUCCACAGCAAGUUACUGCCUUUUCUUGAACCCUUGCUGCGGAUGAAAUCUCGUGUCGCGGCAGGCAGAUGUGGGCGGGAGUGAGGAAGUCCUGAUUUUCGAUACGGCGGAGUGAGAAGCAAGGCUCGGGUCGGGGAAUAGCGACCGCGAUGGACUGGGCUGUGCUCUGGGCGCUUCUGGGCGUCCUCUCCGCCGUCGCCCAGUCCGAACCCCGGCAGCGCCAGGCCGCGGUGGGGGGCUCGGUGGUCUUCGACGCGCCGGUGCUGGAGGAGGGCUCGCUGAAGUACGGCGCAGACGGCACCAUCGCGGCCGUUUUCGACGGGAAGCUCAGGACCGACUACGUGGAGCGGCUCAGAGGGAGAGUCACCUGGGACUCGCACACCGGCUUCUUCCAGAUCGAGCAGCUGAACACGCAGGACACGGGGGUGUACACGGUGGACAACAAGAUGGAGCAGAAGAGCGUCACCGUGUUCAACCUGCACGUGUACAGACGUGUGUCUCAGCCACGCGUGAGAGUCACAGACAAGGGCAACCUGCCCGACAGGCCCUGCACCGUCCAGUGCUCUGUGCAGAACGGGAAGGAGGUGACCCUGUCCUGGCAGAGAGAGGGGGAGACACUGUUGAACACCAGCUCCCCUGACCUCAAAGCUCCCCUGACCCUGCCUCUGGACAUCAGGGAGCUCAUGCACACCUACUACUGCGUGUCCUCGAACCCGGUCAGCACUGAGCGAAGGACGAUGGAGUCUGACGAGUACUGCGCCGUGACCCAGCAGCUGGAAGGCCAGGAGGGACAGGCGGUGUCCUUCUCAGUCCCCGUGCUGCAGGAGGGCUCUCUGAGGUACGGGGGGCUGGGGCUCGUCGCUGAGGUCUCUGGCGGCCGCAGCGAGCUGGACUACGAGGAGCGAUUCAGGCAGAGGCUCAGCUGGGACAGCCAGACCGGAUUCUUCCAGGUCACCAACCUCAACAAGCAGGACGCUGGGGUUUAUACAGUGGACAUUAAGGACGGAGGAGCGGUCAAGUUUCAUCUGACGGUGUCCAGUCCUCCUACUAAACCACUGGGGCUGAUUUUGGGAAUGUCCGUGGUCAUGGUCCUGUUGGUUGCAGCCCUGGCGUUCAUAAUCUGGUACCGCAGAAUGAAGCGACGACCUGUGGAUGUGACCGUGACCCGCGGAGACACGUUCACUUUCCCCUUCUCCGUGAUGGAGGAGGGAUCGCUGGCGCACCCGAAGCACCGGGUGAUCGCGCGGGUGACCCAGGCGAACUGCACCACAGUGUCCGGGUUCGAAGACAGGGUGUCCUGGGACGGGAUGUGCGGGGUGUUUCGGAUUGCAGACAUGCAAACAGAGGACGCUGGGAUUUUCAAGGUGAAGGAUCAAAAGAGGAAGAUGGUGAGGCUGAAUCUGAAAGUGCGCGAUCCCAGUCUCUCCGUUCCGUCCAGAAAACAGGCCGCAGGGACAGGAGAAACGGUGGAACUGCCCGUCGGAGGGUCGUACUCUUUCCCGAUCUCCGUACUGCGGGAGGGGACCUUGUCGCGGGCUCCUUACGGCCCCCUCAUUGAGGUGUCGGAGGGGAAGAGCAUCACUGUCCACCUGCGGGGGGUGGAGACCAAGGUGACCUGGAGCCACGAGACGGGAGAGUUUGCGGUCUCGCCUUCGAGCAGCAAGGGCUACGGGGAAUAUACCGUGGAAGACAAAAAAGGACAAGGAUCAUCAUACACUGUUCACCUGACUGAGAGAGGGUGUUCUGGAAAUGACCAACAUCCUCAAGCAGUGAGGCUAAGAGAUGAUAGUUUGGCCGAGUGAGAUUGACAUCUCAGGAGGGCGGCCAUAACUGUAUCUCACCCUCUGGAGCUGAAGAAACAGGACACUGGGAGUGAGUUCCACCUGCCUACAGAACCGACACCACUGCUGAGCUGUUCCAUGGAGGACUGGGAGAUUAUUCUACAGAACAGAAAGACUUUCAUUGCACUAACACCACUAUUAAACAGCUCCAGUACUGGGUCUCACUAAUUUUAUUAACCUUAUAAAUAGUUACAAACGUACAUGAGCUACUGUUUACAAUUAAUCGUACACAACAGUUUGUAUUGUCUUCUGCUCUUUGUGUAAUUGCUUGAGCAUAAUGCUUAAAGAGAGUUUUAAAGUGACUGGCGCUGACGCAAUCCCAGCAGUGAACAGCCGCAGAACAGAAACAGAGCUGGCCAAAUGACACACCCACUGCAAAGUGCACAAAAGUCACUUAAAGCAUUUACUGACGUUGUAAAAAAGCAAAUAACACAGUCAAAACCGUAUAACUUACCAUCUGAUGAAUAGCUCUUUGCAUCAGUCACUUAAAAAUGACACUGAACACUCAUCUUCAGAAUCACAAGCAGCUAUCUCUUACUGCACGUGCUCUGUGACAGUGUGACCAGAUUAAAAUGGGAAUAUUUUAGUACUUUAACUGUAAACCAAUGUGCUUCUCUUUCACAUCAUUGAGCCUUGAGAGGAAGAUCUGGGGGAGGAAUGAUUUGAUUUACCAAUGAAAAACACUUGCACAAAAUACUUACUGCACCGUAUUUUCCAACUAAAGACGUAAAUAAGAUCCAUCACAAAGCAUAUAGUAAGAAAACAAGUGAUUUUGCUGUUUAUUCAGUGUUGUGCUGUGUUUUCAUCAACAUUACGCAGGAUGGUGUUUCCCCAGCACUGCAGCAAGGGAGGGUGCUGCCUGAUCCAUUCCAGACAGCUCCUGACCAGCUGCCCUCACUGCUCCCAGUAGUGGCAUGAGGUCACACGGACGUUUCCCUCUCCAGGGCGAAGGGAACUCCCAGACGGGGUUAGGGACCGGAGAGCAGGGAGGGAGGAGGUGUGGGGGGGGGUACCUCAAACCUCUCUCUCCCUUCACACGACUGGAGGAAGGCAAUAUUGUCCCAUAUCACCACAUCGUAUAGCACAUCAAGCAACAUGAUCAAGCGUAGGGGGGUGUAAGGCCCAGCUGAGGGGAUUUGAGCCAGAACACCAUCUCCUGAGAAAGCUGCGCGCACAGUCAUAUUCACGCCUCUUA